rnacentral:rRNA from 1 species
CCUACGGGGGGCAGCAGUGAGGAAUAUUGGUCAAUGGGAGAGAUCCUGAACCAGCCAAGCCGCGUGAGGGAAGACGGCCCUAUGGGUUGUAAACCUCUUUUGUCGGAGAACAAACCCCGGGACGUGUCCCGGACUGCGUGUAUCCGAAGAAAAAGCAUCGGCUAACUCCGUGCCAGCAGCCGCGGUAAUACGGAGGAUGCGAGCGUUAUCCGGAUUUAUUGGGUUUAAAGGGUGCGUAGGCGGUCCGUUAAGUCAGCGGUAAAAUUGCGGGGCUCAACCCCGUCGAGCCGUUGAAACUGGCCGACUUGAGAUGGCGAGCAGUACGCGGAAUGCGCGGUGUAGCGGUGAAAUGCAUAGAUAUCGUGCAGAACUCCGAUUGCGAAGGCAGCGUACCG